rnacentral:rRNA from 1 species
UGAGGAAUAUUGGUCAAUGGGCGAGAGCCUGAACCAGCCAAGUAGCGUGCAGGAUGACGGCCCUAUGGGUUGUAAACUGCUUUUAUGUGGGGAUAAAGUGCGUGACGUGUCAUGCAUUGCAGGAACCACAUGAAUAAGGACCGGCUAAUUCCGUGCCAGCAGCCGCGGUAAUACGGAAGGUCCGGGCGUUAUCCGGAUUUAUUGGGUUUAAAGGGAGCGUAGGCUGUCUAUUAAGCGUGUUGUGAAAUAUACCGGCUCAACCGGUGGCUUGCAGCGCGAACUGGUCGACUUGAGUAUGCAGGAAGUAGGCGGAAUUCAUGGUGGAGCGGUGAAAUGCUUAGAUAUCAUGACGAACUCCGAUUGCGCAGGCAGCUUACUGUAGCAUAACUGACGCUGAUGCUCGAAAGUGCGGGUAUCAAACAGG